CCAGAGCACCGGUACCCAGGGUGCCUCCACCACCCUCCCCGCACCUGGGCAGGGCUGGGGCUGCCUCAUGACACCCAGCAGUGGUGGUGGAUAUUUGCAGUGUAGGCGUGGGCAUCGAUAGAGUGUUUUGUAGCUGUAUCUUAAAGCGUUUGGUGACAA